rnacentral:rRNA from 1 species
CGGGUGAGUAACCGUGGGGCAACUUGCCUUACAGACUGGGACAACAUUUGGAAACGAAUGCUAAUACCGGAUAUUAUGACUGGGUCGCAUGGUUUGGUUAUGAAAGCUAUAUGCGCUGUGAGAGAGCUUUGCGUCCCAUUAGUUAGUUGGUGAGGUAACGGCUCACCAAGACGAUGAUGGGUAGCCGGCCUGAGAGGGUGAACGGCCACAAGGGGACUGAGACACGGCCCUUACUCCUACGGGAGGCAGCAUGGGGAAUAUUGGACAAUGGACCAAAAGUCUGAUCCAGCAAUUCUGUGUGCACGAUGAAGUUUUUCGGAAUGUAAAGUGCUUUCAGUUGGGAAGAAGUCAGUGACGGUACCAACAGAAGAAGCGACGGCUAAAUACGUGCCAGCAGCCGCGGUAAUACGUAUGUCGCAAGCGUUAUCCGGAUUUAUUGGGCGUAAAGCGCGUUAGGCGGUUUAGUAAGUCUGAUGUGAAAAUGCGGGGCUCAACCCCGUAUUGCGUUGGAAACUGCUAAACUAGAGUACUGGAGAGGUAGGCGGAACUACAAGUGUAGAGGUGAAAUUCGUAGAUAUUUGUAGGAAUGCCGAUGGGGAAGCCAGCCUACUGGACAGAUACUGACGCUAAAGCGCGAAAGCGUGGGUAGCAAACAGGAUUAGAUACCCUGGUAGUCCACGCCGUAAACGAUGAUUACUAGGUGUUGGGGGUCGAACCUCAGCGCCCAAGCUAACGCGAUAAGUAAUCCGCCUGGGGAGUACGUACGCAAGUAUG